CAUAUACUCUCUCCGUCCCAAAACUCUUAUUUUAGAUUUGUCUAGAUACGGAUGUAUCAAGUCACGUUUUAGUAUUAGAUACAUCCGUAUCUAGACAAAUCUAAGACAAUAAUUUUAGAACGAAGGGAGUAUAUA
rfam:Triticum aestivum genome assembly, contig: Triticum_aestivum_CS42_TGACv1_scaffold_379089_5AL